rnacentral:rRNA from 1 species
GCGUACACGGUGGAUGCCCUGGCAGUCAGAGGCGAUGAAGGACGUGCUAAUCUGCGAUAAGCGUCGGUAAGGUGAUAUGAACCGUUAUAACCGGCGAUUUCCGAAUGGGGAAACCCAGUGUGAUUCGUCACACUAUCAUUAACUGAAUCCAUAGGUUAAUGAGGCGAACCGGGGGAACUGAAACAUCUAAGUACCCCGAGGAAAAGAAAUCAACCGAGAUUCCCCCAGUAGCGGCGAGCGAACGGGGAGCAGCCC